GAUGAACGCUGGCGGCGUGCCUAAUACAUGCAAGUCGAGCGAACAGAUGAGGAGCUUGCUCCUCUGACGUUAGCGGCGGACGGGUGAGUAACACGUGGAUAACCUACCUAUAAGACUGGGAUAACUUCGGGAAACCGGAGCUAAUACCGGAUAAUAUAUUGAACCGCAUGGUUCAAUAGUGAAAGACGGUUUUGCUGUCACUUAUAGAUGGAUCCGCGCCGCAUUAGCUAGUUGGUAAGGUAACGGCUUACCAAGGCAACGAUGCGUAGCCGACCUGAGAGGGUGAUCGGCCACACUGGAACUGAGACACGGUCCAGACUCCUACGGGAGGCAGCAGUAGGGAAUCUUCCGCAAUGGGCGAAAGCCUGACGGAGCAACGCCGCGUGAGUGAUGAAGGUCUUCGGAUCGUAAAACUCUGUUAUUAGGGAAGAACAAAUGUGUAAGUAACUAUGCACGUCUUGACGGUACGUAAUCAGAAAGCCACGGCUAACUACGUG
rnacentral:rRNA from 1 species